rnacentral:lncRNA from 7 species
AGGCGCGGCCCGGGCCGGGGUGGCUGCGAUGGAGGGUUGCAAUUGUUGCCACCACUCCUGUUCAGAUCUGCCUUCCUCUCCCUCACCUGCUCCUCCACUCUGAGGUGAAUCAGGUAUACCAAGCAAGAAUCCCAGGCUGGAUUUCCUACAGAGGCACUUCCUAACCUUUGCUGAGCAAGGCUUCAGUCUGUUACCCCCUGCCUGCCUAACCUUCCUGCAAUGCAAAAAUAAACAAAGAAAAAAGCUGUGCCAUAUCCCAUUAGUUGAGAUCAAAAUAGAGUUCUCUUAUCCCAUCAGCUGCGCUGCCUUUCAGCUGGAUGUGCCAAAUCUAUGUGACUGGCUUGCCCCAUCUAUUACAUUAAUCUCUAGGUCCUAAAGUUUGAGGUGAAACCUGGGAUCCCUGGAUUCUGUCAUUCUCCUUUAACAGAAAGUUUGUAACUGAAUGGCAAACUGUGAGUCGAGGCCCUCUCUUCUCGCCAAACUCCAUAAAAGAUAAUUACUGCUGGAGUUCAAGUGGUGGCAUGUUUUGCAAGAGAUCUAGAAGCCUCGUAUGCAACCUUCCAGAUAGACACUGUAAUUGUGCCUAUGAUUACCUUUCUCCUUUUUUUUUUUUGUUCCCAGCAAUUUAUUAAAUUCACACCUUG